CAGCCGCCGCGGGAAUACGAAGGGGGCUAGCGUUGUUCGGAAUUACUGGGCGUAAAGCGCACGUAGGCGGAUACUUAAGUCAGGGGUGAAAUCCCGGGGCUCAACCCCGGAACUGCCUUUGAUACUGGGUAUCUCGAGUCCGGAAGAGGUGAGUGGAAUUCCGAGUGUAGAGGUGAAAUUCGUAGAUAUUCGGAGGAACACCAGUGGCGAAGGCGGCUCACUGGUCCGGUACUGACGCUGAGAUGCAAAAGCGUGGGGAGCAAACAGGAUUAGAUACCCGCGUAGUCCCUGUCUCUUAUAA
rnacentral:rRNA from 1 species